CCUACGGGUGGCAGCAGUGGGGAAUAUUGGACAAUGGGCGAAAGCCUGAUCCAGCCAUGCCGCGUGUGUGAAGAAGGCCUUCGGGUUGUAAAGCACUUUCAGUGGGGAAGAAAGCCUUGGGGCUAAUACCCUCGAGGAAGGACAUCACCCACAGAAGAAGCACCGGCUAACUCCGUGCCAGCAGCCGCGGUAAUACGGAGGGUGCGAGCGUUAAUCGGAAUUACUGGGCGUAAAGCGCGCGUAGGCGGUCUGAUAAGCCGGUUGUGAAAGCCCCGGGCUCAACCUGGGAACGGCAUCCGGAACUGUCAGGCUUGAGUGCAGGAGAGGAAGGUAGAAUUCCCGGUGUAGCGGUGAAAUGCGUAGAGAUCGGGAGGAAUACCAGUGGCGAAGGCGGUCUUCUGGACUGACACUGACGCUGAGGUGCGAAAGCGUGGGUAGCAAACAGGAUUAGAUACCCUGGUAGUC
rnacentral:rRNA from 1 species